rnacentral:lncRNA from 1 species
AAAGAUCUAAUCCUAACUGCUAGAUCGCAAGGAUCCAACGGACACAAAAAUUCCCAUAAUUUUUUUAAAUCCCUAAAUAUCAGGACCGUUUGUCUAAAAGAUGAAAGCUCUAGAUCCAAUCGCUCAAGCUUAACCUUAGAGACGACCUAAACUAUCCAAAACCCUAAAAUCAUUUCCCCCAAGCCCUGCUGCCUCUCUUUCCCCUUCCUCUCUUUUUUCUCUAAACCUUACAACCUAAAUCAAUCAAAAGACCUUGCAUAAAUUCGUGCAAGGUCAUGAAUUCAUCCAUAGAUUCAUCUUCCCUAUCUCCCACAUCCGUGAUUCUCACUGAAUCUUUUCGCUUUCACCGAUUAAAUUCAGAAGUCCUAAUUUGAAACUCUAUGCUUAAAGGAUGAAACUUCAGCUCGCCUGAUUUUUCCUUCGCCAUUGCAAAUCUAUGGCAUGCAUGGUUAUCUUUGCGAUGUUAUCAUUAUUAUUCUCGGUCCAGAGGUCAAGCGUAGUGACCUCUGAAUAUUGGGCCCUUUAACCCAUGGUUCUUUUCCUUCAAACAGGUAGUUGUCACUCAGGUAAAUUUCUUCAUCAUUUUUUUCCUCUAUCUCCUUAGAUUUUUCCUGAUUUUGCUUGCAUCACCACUCCUCUGUCACUCUCCACUACCAUGGUUUAAAUCUGAAACCGUAAGGAUCAACGACCAUUAUAAAUAACAACCUUAAAUGCUUUCACCAAGAACAUACCAACCGCACCUAACAUCUGAGAAAUUAAUACGGUAUAGGUAUAGUGCUUAGGAGUUUUCUAUUGCAAUUCAAGUUUCUACUCAAUCUUUGCUUCUCCUUUUCUUUCUGGUUCCAAGUUUGUUACUGAUUGAGAGCUUGAGCUUUUGGCUUCUUAAAGGCUAAUUUGAAUACUCGUUUGGUUUUCUGCCCCAAAGGAGGUCAGUAAAACCUAGACCUUGUUCUUAUUUUAUUAGUUUAAGUUUUUGAACAUGAACUAUUCUACUACCUCUUGCUGAAUGAUGUUAUUAACAAUGUAUUCACGUUUUGACUGUUUUACGUGUUUAUUAAUGAUUGUUAAAUAGAUUCUACAAUAAUGAACCUCUUUUAAGUUAUUAAAAAUUAGAAUUAUGUAUUGAUCUCAAUAAACAUCUAAUGAUCCAUAUCUACUUUAACUAUGAAAACAACUAAAGAACUUCUUAAUGUUCCUAAUAUCUAGUUUCAGACCUCUCUAUUCUCACUAUUAUGAUUGUUAUGCUAAUCUGCUUUGAAUGUUAUUUUGUAGUUCACACAAUAACCUAGACUUAAAUGAAGUAUGACUCUAUUUAGUGUUGAAAACCAGAUUGUUAUCUUAGUUUAGAUACACUAGAUCAUGACCUUUAAACCUUUUUUUGUCUCUUUGAUAUGCCUCUAUGAUUUUGCUAAUUACCUGAUUGAAUUCAUGACUGUUAUGUAAACAUGCCCUAAGCUAGCUAGGUCUUUGUGUAUAGUCUGAUAUUGCUUCACACUUAGUUUAAGCUAUGAAGUAUGGAUAAGAUGUAUUUGAAUUAUGAUGACACAUUUGUUGAGUUAAAGUGCUGCUACUAAGUUCAAGUCCCAUACCAGACUCAUUUGACAUGCUUCCCCAAUGUGAUGAUACCCUUACCCUUUUACUAAAGCUCAUAUGGUGUCACAGUUAGUAAUACUUUCAUAAUAUGACCCCUGCUAAGUGUUCUCUAUGUGUCCUUGUGAUUCUGCACUCAUUUAUGUUUUUCAAUCCCUCUAUUUGCCUUUCAUGAUCACAUACAUGCUUACACUGUCUUUGAAACUUCACCGAGAUCUCCUAAAAGGAUUAGACUUAGCUUGUGAACUCUAAGAGAAUCUUUUGUUGCAAUGACUUAAAUAUAACAACAUGCUUUGUUCUCAAUGAGAUAAGCAUGGAUUUAAAACUCUUAGAAAGAAGAGAUUAUGCCAUUGAUUUUGAAGUUAAGCAGGACUGAUAGCCUAAGAUUCUGUUCGUACUCUUAGAAGUUCUAAUUGAAUUUGUGAAUUUGUGGCUUUGUUAAUGUCUUUAGAAGUUCUAAUUGCAGCCUCUUAAUUUGUAAUCAUGUUAAUACUGUCACGCCCCAAAAUCCAAGGAGCAUGACCAGCGCUCAACCGAGUAACCCCGACUGAGCAAGCCUGUUAGGUUUCAUACUACCCAAAUUCGUCUUUGAAUAAAGAGAAAAUGUACAUCAUUAAUCAAAUUCUAUAAACAUGUCAUUAACAAUUCCAUUUCAUUUCCAUUAUCAACUUCGUUCACAAUUUUGAAGAUAUUACAAGUUUUAUACAUCAUUGUGAAACAUCAAUAUUUCUACUUUAAUUCCAAUACCCGAUACUACCCACAACCUGUCUACGAAGCCUCUAAAUACAACUGAAGAAUAAUAUGGAAAUGCCGGCAACAAGGCUACGGCUAUACCUCAAAUACAAUGUACAUGAUAAACAGAUGAAAUAGGACCCUUAAACAAAGUGGGGCUCACCAAGUCAGCUGAAAAGAUGAUGUGGCACUAGCUGCGACCAACACUGCCUGCUAUAGAAACACCUACAUCCAUUUAAAGAUAUAGCGCCUACGAUAAAAGGGACGUUAGUGCCAUCGAAUAGCACUAGUAUGUAUAACUAAACACCAUCCAGUUAGAAAGAACUUUCAUACCAAACAUAAGGAAAUCAUAAGUAUAACUCAAAAGCUUCAAACGAUCACAACAUUAUCAAGGUAAAGGAAUCAUACAAUUUUCAUAUUUUGUUUCCAUAGCCUUUAGUUUGGGGCAUUUCAUAUUGUUCAUCAUUGUUCACAAUACCACCGCUAGCUUGAGCGGAGUCCGAUCUCGACCCGAUCGGCUAGGUUGCCUCACUUGAGACAUACACUUCAAUCACAAUCUCAUUUUCCCUUUUUAUCCGGGACUCAAUAUCAACACAAUACCACUAUGUGUGCGACAUGGCAUCCGAUCUCGGCCCGAUCGGCUAGGCCACCUUACCAAGGCGUUUCCCUUUUCCAUCAAUCAUCUCAAUUCAAUCUUUGUUUUAUAUAUGUCAUUUCAUGGGCACUUGGGGCCACAACUAUCACGUCAUAUAUUUGGCACUAGGCCACAUUUCACAUCAUUUUNNNNNNNNNNNNNNNNNNNNNNGAUACUUCACAUAGAGGACACAACAUAUGUAGCUUCAAUCUCAAUUUAAGGUCUAAGCAUUUCAGUACAUGAUUCAUAUUCCUUGCACCCUUUCAAGUUAUCAAGAAUAGCACAUUUAUCAUAUUGAGACACAUCUUUCACGCAUAUAAGACCGCAACCCAAAUUCAUGUGAAACAACAAUCAACACAACAAUUCAACUUUGCUCUUACCGUAUUUACACAAACAUCGAUGGAGCUCAAUUUCUAAAAGACGGGGUUUUAGCCAUACAUAUCUGAAAUUUGACCCUUAAUGAUACUACAAUGAUCCAAUACACUUAAGCAACUUCAAUCUACAAUACAACAUUCAAUAGGGCCAAUAUUAGUAAUAAAUUCCAUAACUUAUGCCAUUUAGGCAUAUUAUCAAACACCUUGUAAGUAUAGAUCUUUACACGUCAUAACUAUAGUAUUGGUUCAUCCAACUAUCACCAUUAACCAAUAAUUUAUUCCACCAUCAUUCUUAACCAAUUUAUAACUUCCAACAACUAUGUAUGACCAUCCAUUCACACCCAACCAACAAAUCUUAUCAAAUAAUCAUCUUUACAUCUCUACAAUAAUUAUGUAUUUAUAUUGGGAACUUAUGGCUUCUUAUCACCACACCAAGAGUUCCAAUACUUAAUUCAUACUCAUAUUCCCAUAAUAUAUCCAUAUAUGUAAGUCUAAUGGUGUAGGAAUUACGUUUUGGAAGAAAUUUUGCAAACCCUCCUUUGAGUUCUUGAAGGAAUUUCUUGAAGAUCUAUGUAUUUUAUGUGAAGAUUUCAUCAAUACUAGUGUAGGAAUAAUGGAAUUUCACACCAAGUUAAUGGAGAUUGCUUACCUUGAAGAUGGGAGGGGUUGGAGGUCUUGAGAGAGUGGAGAAAGACCCUAAGAGUCGUCCAAAAGAAAUGGGAGAAAAUGAAUCCCGAAAUUAUGUUUAUAAGCCCAGAUUUCGGAUGCUGCCUCGGAUGCUUCGCAUCCCCAAUUCACUCCUCUCAGGAGCUCAGAUGCUGACCCAGAUGCUAUGGCAGCACUUCACUGCCAGCUCCUCUUUUUGGAUGCUGCCUCGGAUGCUUCGCAUCCGCGCAGUCCUCCGCCAGCCUUUGGUAAUUUGAUCAUAACUUCUUGUAGGGAAGUCCAAAUGACAAACGGUUUGAAGCGUUAGAAAUUAGACUCAAAGGACUUUCAUUUGAUAGGCUGUGCAUCAUCUAAAACCUUAUAUAUCUGUAUAUAUGCUCGUCCAAAGUGUGGUCUUGUGCAUACUCAUUUGGAAUUUUAGUCUAUCAUGUAAUUUUCCAACUUGGCUUAGACUUAUACGCUUAUUAACAUAUCCAAUUGAUAUCCAUUAUAUCAUGAAUCCUCAUUUGCACACAAAAUAAAAUAAUUAGCCUACCUUGGAAACCACGCAAUCUUAAAUUACUUAGCAAAGUGUUCCGGGGCUUUACAUUCUCCCCCACUUAGGAUCAUUCGUCCUCGAAUGAUAAUUGGAGUCAAUCCGCAAAUACUUAGUAUAACUUAUGUCCUUUCUCACAUAUCUUUAUCUCCCAAAUUUUGACUAACUCCCAAAUAUUUCAGAAAUUUCGGCAGAGUUUCCCUUGUAAUUGGGCCUAUCCACCUGUCAGAGAUUCCCAGAAACACAUCCUAUCAACAUAUACAUAAUCCAAAGAUGCAACAUAAUAUAAAAUGAUGCCAACCGUGGCCCCAUAAGCAAUGCAUUUCUAGAAUAGAAACACUAUUAUCAUCAACUAACCAUGUGAUACAUAAUUCAUAGAAGGUAAGCUUUCAACAUCUUCAUAGGACGCAAAUACUUAAUUACAUAGCUAUCCAAACAAGUGAGGGUACUUCUUCCUCAUUUCUUCCUCGGCUUCCCAAAUGGCUUCCUCACUUUGCUGGUUUCACCAUAACACUUUCACGGAGGCAAUUUCUUUAUUUCUCAACUUUCAGACUUGCCUAUCAAGGAUGGAAAUUGGAAUUUCUUCGUACGAUAAUUCUUCAUUAAACUCAAUAGUCUCAACUGGCACAAUAGUGGACGGAUCUCCUACUACCUUAUACAACAUAGACACAUGGAAGACUGGGUGCACCAAUGACAUCUCGGGUGGCAGCUCGAGCUUGUAUGCCACCUGACCAAUCCUCUGAAUGAUUUUGUAUGGCCCCACAUACCUCGGACUUAUUUUUCCUUUCUUUCCAAACCGCAUGAUACCCUUCAUGGGGGAAACCUUCAAAAAUACCCAAUCAUCUUCUUUGAACUCCAAGUCUCUACGACGAACGUCCGAAUAUGACUUUUGGCGACUCUGAGCAGUUUUCAACCUCUCUUUAAUAAUCUUGACUUUCUCCAUAGCCUGAUGUACGAGGUCUGGCCCUAUCAAUUCAGCCUCUCCAACCUCGAACCACCCAAUGAGAUAUCUACAUAUCCUACUAUACAACGCCUCAAAUGGUGCCACCUGGAUACUAGCAUGGAAGCUGUUGUUAUAAGAAAACUCUAUGAGGGGUAAAUGAUCAUUCCAGAUACCUUUGAAAUUAAGAACACAAGCACACAACAUAUCCUCAAGCGCCUGAAUGGUCCGCUCUGCCUGCCUAUUAGUUUGUAGAUGGAAGGCUGUACUAAGAUUUAAUUGAGUACCCAAACCUUACUGAAAUUUCUUCCAAAAGUUUGCCAUGAAUUGAGCCACUCUAUCUGAAAUGAUUGAGAUUGGAGUGCCAUGCAACCUGACUAUUUCUUUGAUAUACAUUUGAGCAUACUGUUCCGCUGUGUCGGUAGAUUUAACUGGCAAGACGUGCGCUGAUUUCGUGAGUCGAUCAACGAUUACCCAAAUUGAGUUGAACUUGCGCGUAGUGCGAGGUAAUCCUACCACAAAAUCCAUAUUGAUCAUUUUCCAUUUCCACAUUGGAAUUUUUAUGCUUUGUAACAAUCUUCCAGGCCUUUGAUGUUCAGCCUUCACUUGCUGAUAGUUCGGAUAUUUUGCCACAAUGUCCACCACAUCCCCUUCCUUGUUAUUCCACCAAUAAACUUCUUUGAGAUCAUGAUACAUUUUUGUAGAACCAAGGUGUAUGGAAUACCUAGAAGUGUGAGCUUCUGCCAAAAUCCUUUCCCGAAGACUAUCAAUAUCUGGAACACAUAGGCGUACUUGGCAUCGUAGGGUACCAUUAUCAAUGCCAAAAGAAAAAGUUGUGGUCCUGUAUUUAUGAAUUCCCUCCUUCAUCUGUAUCAAUAAUGGAUUGUUGUAUUGCUUCUCUUUCACUUGUGCCACAAGUGACGAUUCAACCCUAUUUUGCACAAUUUCCCUACCUUCACUAGAGUUCACAAGACGAACUCCCAAACUUGCCAACUAGUGAACCUCCCUAGCCAACGACCUUUGAUAUGCCUCCAAGUGAGCUAAACUAUCCAUAGAUUUCCAACUAAGAGCAUCUGCCAUGACGUUGGCCUUUUCCCGGGUGAUAUUGAAUAUCGAGGUCGUGGUCUUUGAGUAACUCAAGCCAUCUUCUCUGCCUCAGAUUCAGCUCCUUUUGUUUGAAAAUAUAUUGAAGGCUCUUGUGGUCCGUAAAUACAUCCACUUGGACCCCAUACAAAUAAUGUCGCCAAAUCUUUAGUGCAAACAUCACUGCCACAUGCUCUAAGUCAUGUGCUGCAUAGUUUUUUCCAUGAUUCUUGAGUUGCCUAGAUGCAUAAAUUUUUACCUUAACACAUUGCAUCAUUAGUGGAACAUCUUUAUCAUAUUUAUCUUACAUAAGACCUCCCACAAAUUGAGUUCUACAAUAGUUUCCCUGAUAUGGUUACAAUCUCCUAUGAAUACUUGCAACUAGCUCUUCCAAAUUCUCAACAAAAGACAUUAUUGAAUGAGUUUUUAUUCAAUGGACCUUCUGUCUCAAAUGAAUAACACUUGCUAACUUGCUCACAUACCCUAAUAACAUCAACCUGUACGACAUUUCAUCAAAUGUAAGGUAACAUUGUGCUCCGACUUUUCUUAGCCAACCUCUUCCCUUAUGUGCCUUAUAGAAUUUAAGAAACCGCACUACUUCCCCUGUGAAUAUGCUCACGAUCCCUCUUUACUGUUAGACACUUCCCAAAAACACAUAUCAACACCCUUUAUAUGUCUACAAUUUAGGAAGAGUCACUGGCCCGAGAAGGGCAUUCUCUGAAACUUGAGAUCCUCCUUGAUUCUUCAACAACGACUUUUGGUUUUACUCUUAAAUGUAAGACUUAGUCCACCUGAUUCUAUCCUCGAUGAGUAACUCACCUCAUUCCCCAUAUUGUAGCUACCAAUAGAGUUCCCUGAUAUUGCGGUUUAAGAUUUACCAUGUUAAACAUGUAUGGUCUGUAACAAGUGUUCAUCCUCUUUCAAUCUAUUUUGAACCGUUCAUUUGCCCUUUGGGUAGAUUGUGUUAUCUUUUCCCUUUUUUUUCACCCUUUGUCCCGGACAAUAUGCUGUUACCAUCUUUUCUUUCUAACCGGAACAUUAAUUCCCAUUCUAUUUUGCUUAUAGUGCAUAAUUGAUAGCCUUAUUGUGCCACACACUUGUCUACCUCCCAGGAACUUGUAAUAUCAUUGUGGCUAGUUUAGUGAGUUUAUCAUACCACAAAUUCACCUUCAGUGGUCUCACUUUCCAUUAUAUGUAGACAUGAACUGUCUCUAGAUCCUUUAGUUGAUAUUCGGUGUCACCCAAGUCGGUUGCAUUACGAUUAGUCCUUUAUAACUUUUAUUAACACUUAUACUCUAAGCGAGUCCACCAUUCUGAUAUAAGAAAUUUUAUGAUAACCAUGACCAUCUCAAUUUAUAGGUUUUCUCCCCAUUUCUUCUCACCUCAUUCUUCCUAGCUAGUGAAUAGCCAUGCAUUCUUCCAUAUGUUACGUGGUUUUUUCCCUUAGUUAUUUCAUCCCGCUCACCUCUUAACUCUUGUUAGGAUAUUCGUGGGAAAGUGUGUUCAUCCGCAUAUCACUUAACAUUUCUUUACUUGUAAGAUUUUUUUUAGGCUCUCUAUCAAGCCCAAAUACCCUCUUGGGUUAUUAUAGCAUCACAUUUAUUUCUCCCACUCAUUUCACCUUUCUUAACGCCUUGGUACUUUGGUUAAAUCACAGAUCUAUGAUUAACCCAUUCUAAAAACUCGCAACCUUCCACAUUUGACCUAUAGUACUUCUUUAGGUUCCAUUGUUCCUCACCCUCUAACAAGUAUAAAAUUCCUUUACUAAUACAUCUUAGUUUCUAGGAUCGUUGAUCCUAUCACUCACAUUUCCCUGUAUGAAAAAAAUUUACUUUCCUUAACCUUCCACCUUUUUGAGGGUACUAGUGGUCUAUCAUUAGCAUAUCCUUUCAAAUAAUCACGUUAUCCAUUAUCACUUUUCUAGACUAUGCAUGUCUUCAACAAAAUAUUCAAACAUCAUAGCUACAUGGUCUUACUCUUGUUUCGUUGUAUUUAAGUGGCCUCACUAUGGCCCUUCCUAACCCCCCUUGGGGCGAAUGUCCCAGAUUUCGACACAAGACUUGAAUUUAGCAACUUCAUGGACAUAUGCCUCAUGUCUCUAUCCCUCAUAUAUAUGUUCUACCAUUAGGGAGAUUUAAGUCACCAUGGUAUUAACCUCAUAAGUUCUCUACUCUUACUCAGCCACAUGGGCUUGGGAUUCUAAUUCCUCAUGUCAAUAUCCGGUAGGAGUGUAAUAUCACUUCGUACACUUCUGGAUUUUUAUAAAGUUCGUUAUACAUGUGAGCACGUGAUUUUUGUUUCGCACGACACUCGCUCCAAAAAAGAAAUAAAAAAAAAUAAUUGGCCCUGCUGUACAAUUUUUGGAUUUCUGUGCGGCACUUUGUUGAUUUAUUUGUGAUUUUGGCCCAUUUUAUUUAUCUACUUUAUUAAAACAAAAUUGAAAAAAAGUGUACGUGUCAUGCAUAACUUGAACCGUAACAUUGGUUUAAAUAGAAAGGCAUAAACAGGCACCUUUGUCCGUGAUUUUGAUUUGUUUGAUUUUACCCGUUUUGAAAUAUUUUAGUGUGUGUGCAAAUAAUUGUAUUGAGUGUGUAUUUAAUUUUUAAUUUUGAUUUUUUGCUUAGUUUUGUUUUUAAAAUUAAAAAAAAAAGAAGAAAAAGAAGAAAAAAUCAGCAAUUAUUCCGGAUUGGGCCAAUUUUAAUAAAUUGGCCCAAACAAACAACGUUCAAACCAAGCCUGCCCGGUCCGGGCCACCUGAUGCCCAGGAUGUCCAAACGACGUCGUUUGAGUCAUGCCUGAUCUGGGCCGUUGAUCUCAGAUUGAUCAACAACCAAGAUCAAUUCCCCAUAACCCACCAAUAAACCCGACCCGUCUCACCCGGACCGACCCCAACCCUUUACCCUUGAAACGACACCGUUCCACUUAAGCUAUCAGAUCCAGACCGUAGAUCUAGAUUGAUCUAACGGUCGAGAUCAAUCCACCCAUUAACUAUAUAAGGCCAUAAUCCUACCCUGCCCCCCUAUCUGAACCCCAACCUUCGUCCCCAAACAAACAGCCCUAAAACCCUAGCCGCCCCUGCGUACUUUCGCCAUGAAAGCCUGCGGCAUGGAUGCCGGUGACCUUCCCCUUAACACCCUAGAAUCCCCUUGCCUUCCUGAACAUGAAUCCAUUAACCCUGUAGUUCGAAUCCCUCCCCACCUUCUCGAAUCUUCAUUUGAAGAUUCGAGUCGAAACUCGAUCUACACAGUUUAACCCCAGCUUCACACCAGAUACUCCCCAUACCCCCAUCGUGACCAAACCAUACUUGGUUUGGUCCGAAUCUGACCAGGGAAGCCUGAAUCCCAGAUCUAAGUUUGAAAAUUUUGUGUUCCUCCGUCAUUUGGUUCAACCAAAGAGAUUAAGGUCUAAUGGACUUUAAUCAAAGUGUUUCUCAUCUGAGAAACACUUCGUUUAAAGUCCGUUCAGCCUUAAAAAGGCCUGGCCAAGUCCAAGUCGAGGUCUUAAUUUUCAAGGUUUAAGGUGAGUUCUUUCUUUUCUUUAUUUGCUUUGGUUCGUUUGAUUGUUGUAAGGGUCUGUUCGUUUUCUGUCCUUGACUUCUAUCAACUGUUCUUCAACCGUUUUGCCUGAACUUCUGUUUGUUUGUCUAAAAUCCCCCCUCCUGUUCUGAUGAAACAUAUGUAUUUGUUGUACAAUAAUUGAGCUUCAAAUGUUGACUGAGCAAUUGGUUCCUCAAGUACCACUUUGCUCAGUCAGUACAAUUCGAAUUAUGGGUCGAUACUGUUAAAUGUCGGAUUUUUGGUUACGAUUGUGUAUGUUAAUGCUAAUAUAGUCGAGUCGACAUGUGUCGUCAAUUAAUCUCAACUGUCCGAACAAUAACAAAUCGAUUUACUUCUGCUAAGCAUUUGUUGAGUCAAUUAAGAACCAGUUUUUGUUUACUUAUAGUUGUUUGGAUUAAACAGUAAUGUAAAAAGAUUUGUUUGGUUUGAAUUCUGAAUUGGAAGGCAUGUGCACUCGUGCACAGCAUGUGCAUUAGUGCACCUCAUGUGCUUUGUGCACAGCCUGUGGCCUGCAUAAAGGCCUUUGUUAAGUUUUAAACAAUUUGACAGCAUAUGCUGUCAGAUACAUUCCACUGCCCAUACUUGGCUUUAGUUUAAAGGAGUAUUUAAACCUUUUAAAGUGAAGUCUGCCAAAGAAUGUUGAUGGGGUUUAAUACUUAAUUAGCUAAAGUUUGGAAUUAAAAAUAGAAGGCACAUGGGAGGGGUACUAGGAUAUUCUGAAAACAGGCUGUUGAAAGAGAUAGUUUUGGAGGUUUAUAAAGGCAUGGACAUACAGAAUUAAGGGGAAGAGAAAAAAAAAAGAAGAUAAAAACCCUAGGAGCUGAAAAGGAAAAAAACACAAACACAGAUAGAGAGAGGUGAAGGGAUAGAAACUAUACAACAAACAAUCAGAAACUUUUUCCUCCUAUUAUUAUUGGUUUUCAGUUGCUCAACUUGUUGAAACCCAUUCUGAUUCUUUGAAAUUCCAGUUGUGUCUAUUAGUCGAGUGUUUUUCAUUGGUUUACUACUAGUUUGGUCUGUUUGGAUUUCUGUUUCUAUUCCACUGGGUGUUGCUUCUAUUUGGCUAUUACUUUCUAUUGGCCAUAUUUGCAUCUCUGCACUCGAGCCUGUUUCUUGCUGUAUUGUUUUGCCUGCUGCUAUUCUGCCCUGUUGCUGUUGGUGCUGUUACUGCUGCUGCAUUUGUUCAUUGUUACUCUACUGAUUGCCCUUUUUCUUCAAUUGCAAAUAUUCCCAGGUACACAACCUUUGACCUUGUAUUGUUGAAAGU